GGCACACCUAUCUCGGACAGGGGUGGGCUGGUCCGGGUCUGGUCGAUCGGAUAAUUGCCGCUGUUCCAGUCGGCGGUGUGCCA
rnacentral:tRNA from 1 species